CAGCUUUUUACGUGGUUGUGUUUACCCAAUGUUACCAUGUGACCCUAAUCCCACAGGGGCAGUCCCUGUUCCGGAGAGUCUCCUGUUCUUCACUCCUCCCCUGACACCCUUCCAGCCUUUGAGCACAGAGGAACUGAUGUCUUCGGUUAGCCCAGUCGCUUUGGCCAGACUUCAGCAGACCUGCCAGGGCAGCCUGCAGUGUAUACUUGACAUCCUGGCCACAGAUAAUACUGGACUGGGUCAGCAGACUUUGCAGGACCAACAGAAAGUCCAAAACCUCGCUGUAACCUUUGGAAACAUGCCGCCAAUGGUGAGCGAGCCACUGAUCAUCCGCUGUAAGGUGAACAGCACUGUAAGAGUGCAGUUUCUAGCCCAGGACGCUAACAGGGAUGCAUUCAGCUUCUCUCUGCUCUUCCCAAGACCACCACAGGCCACCAUAGGCAUUGGUAAGAUCCCCUUAAAGCCAAUAGUACAAUGGCUGCCUGUUACAG
ensembl:lncRNA